rnacentral:tRNA from 1 species
GCGCCGGUGGUGUAAUGGCGAAGAGUACUCCUUGCCGGUAAGCAGGAGGUGCAGGUUCGAAUCCCGCCUGGCGCU